CCAGUCCUCUCUCUCUAUCGGCUAGUUGGGCGCCAUCUUUGCUCUUUUCCAUGUCUUUUGGUUGAGUUUCGUGGUAUUUUUGUCAGUGAUGUGGUUGACAAGAAUAUUGUGUAAACGACACACACCUGGAAGGAUAUGGGGAGGGAAGUACAGGCUUGUACAGAAAAUGACUGCCACUAGAAGAAGAACUGAAG